GUUCUGGGCUUCUGGCUGCAUUCUAGGAAGAUCAUUCCUUAAAAGAAAUAGCCAUAUGGCUUAUAAGGCUGCAGUGCAAUGGUGCGAUCUCGGCUCACUGCGACCUCUGCCUCCCGGGUUCAAGUGAUUCUUCUGCCUCAGCCUCCCAAGUAGCUGGGAUUACAGUGUUCUUUCCUGUAUGAAGCCCAAGCUGUCCACUUGGAGAGACAUCUGGCCAGCCCCCCGUUGUUCCAGCCAUCCCCAGUUCAGGCAUCAGACAUGUGGUGAAGAAGCCAUCCUAGAUGCCCAGCCCCAGCUACCAUCUGAUGCAACCACACUGCUCACCCCGAGCAAGAACUGCCUGCAGGAGCCUAGUAUUAUCCUCUCUCACAGAACCAUGGCAGGGAAUAAU
rnacentral:lncRNA from 10 species